AGGCAGUUCCCUCUCCACCCGCAAUUGUACCAAUCCAUGCAAAAAUGCUCUCGCCUUCAGGAAAAGCUGACACUCCAAGAUCUCCUCCAAUCAUCUGCAGAAACAAUGUAAGAUAAGUCCAGGCCAUCAUCAACUGACACGAUUCCUCAGGAAGCAAACAGAAAACUCAAGAAAGCGAGACCUCUGAGAAACGGAGGUGGUCUCAACUGUGUUAGGAGGAACAACAGGUUGCUUCGAAGGAGUUGCUGGUACAUGUCGCCGAUACUGCGUCGAGUUAUCGACCGUCUCAUUUGGCCUAACCUCCAUGAUGUAUUCUUACAAUAAAAAGAAAAAUCAACCAAGUAGAUUCUUGCAAUGAUCAAAAUCAAGGGUUGCUAUGCAAUCAACAAAUUAAUCAAGUUCAGGUUUUUAACUUUCGAUUC